GACGCCUCCGGUGGGGGGGCGGGACCUGGGGCGGAGAGCGGUUCGCGCGCUUCGGGCCUAGUCGGGACUCUCCGCGGCCGCCGCCAUAUUCCCGUGGCAUCUUUCUUACUUUGUCCGUUCUCCGGGCUCGAGAGCGCAUUUCCGGAGCCAUGUCAGAAGGAGUGGAUUUGAUUGAUAUUUACGCUGAUGAAGAGUUCAAUCAGGACUCAGAGUUCAACAAUACAGAUCAGAUUGACCUAUAUGAUGAUGUUUUGACGGCUGCCUCACAGCCCUCAGAUGACAGAAGCAGUAGCACGGAACCACCCCCUCCUGUUCGCCAGGAGCCAGCUCCCAAACCAAACAACAAGACCCCUGCAAUUCUAUAUACAUACAGUGGCCUACGGAGUCGGCGAGCAGCUGUCUAUGUAGGCAGCUUUUCCUGGUGGACCACAGACCAGCAGCUGAUCCAAGUUAUACGCUCUAUAGGAGUCUAUGAUGUGGUGGAGUUGAAAUUUGCAGAGAACCGUGCAAAUGGCCAGUCUAAAGGGUAUGCUGAGGUGGUGGUAGCCUCUGAAAAUUCUGUCCACAAAUUGCUGGAACUCUUACCAGGAAAAGUUCUUAAUGGAGAAAAAGUAGAUGUGAGGCCGGCCACCCGGCAGAACCUAUCACAAUUUGAGGCUCAGGCUCGGAAACGUGAGUGCGUCCGAGUCCCAAGAGGGGGAAUACCUCCACGGGCCCACUCCCGAGAUUCUAGUGAUUCUGCUGAUGGACGGGCAACCCCCUCUGAGAAUCUUGUACCCUCAUCUGCUCGUGUGGAUAAGCCCCCCAGCGUGUUGCCCUACUUUAACCGUCCUCCUUCAGCCCUUCCCCUAAUGGGUCUGCCCCCACCCCCAAUUCCACCCCCACCACCUCUCUCCUCAAGCUUUGGUGUCCCUCCUCCUCCUCCUGGUAUCCACUACCAGCAUCUCAUGCCCCCUCCUCCUCGAUUACCUCCUCAUCUGGCUGUACCUCCCCCUGGGGCCAUCCCACCAGCCCUUCACCUCAAUCCAGCCUUCUUCCCCCCACCAAAUGCUACAGUGGGGCCUCCACCAGAUACUUACAUGAAGGCCUCUACACCCUAUAACCACCAUGGCAGCCGAGAUUCCGGCCCUCCACCUUCUACAGUGAGUGAAGCUGAGUUUGAAGAGAUAAUGAAGCGAAACAGAGCAAUUUCCAGCAGUGCCAUUUCCAAAGCAGUGUCUGGAGCUAGUGCAGGGGAUUACAGUGACGCCAUUGAGACACUACUCACAGCCAUUGCAGUUAUCAAACAGUCCCGAGUCGCCAAUGAUGAGCGUUGCCGGGUCCUCAUCUCCUCUCUUAAGGACUGUCUUCAUGGCAUAGAGGCCAAGUCAUACAGUGUGGGUGCCAGUGGAAGCUCUUCUAGGAAAAGACAUCGGUCCAGGGAGAGGUCACCCAGCCGGUCCCGGGAGAGUAGCAGAAGGCACCGAGACUUGCUUCAUAAUGAAGACCGGCAUGAUGAUUAUUUCCAAGAGAGGAACCGGGAGCAUGAGAGACACCGGGAUAGAGAACGGGACCGGCACCACUGAGAAAGGAGAGGGCCCCAGCUCUGGGGUUUGAGGCUGAUGGGCCAACUGAAGUGAUGGAUCUGGAUCUUUGACUUCUGUAUGCAUUCAGACACUACUGCCAACACCAGUUCCCUUGAUGUACCAGUUAUCCUGUGCAUCUCAUUCUGUAAGGACACUUCACAAAUGCCAUUUCUUCAAGAUAUGCAUGUGUAUGCUUUGAAGUUUGAGGGUGUACCUAGAUAGUCUGUGUGUUCAACUCUCUGUAAUUGUCCCAUUUAUUUUAGGGUGUUUUUUACCUGAAAUAGAAUCAUUCUCACCGUCCAUAUUCUCCUGAUCCAUUAAAAACUGAGCUUUCUGUUCAAGUUUGAUUGAGCUUAAAGAUUCAGCCAAUUGUGAUAUACAUACCAGUAAUCCCAGCACUUGGAAGACUAAGUAAGGUAGGGGGUUGUGAUUUCAAAUCAAGCCUAAGCUACAGAAGCCUGAAUGUCAGAAAACAAAGAAGGCACUAAGAGCUUCAGUUUUUCUUUAUAGAAACUGAGACAAAUACUUAUACAUAUGUUUGGAGAAGCCAGCAAGGUAAAGAUCACUCCGAUUCUGAGUAGCUGCUGAGAAUAGUGCCAGCUCAGGAGGCAGCAUGCUGAUAGAUCUCUUCUGCCUGUCAUAUGAGUCUGGGUGGAAGCAAAUUGUUUUUAAUGGACUUGCAUCUCCUCACCUUGAUCAGGACUAAAGGACGGAGGCCGCUCCACCCCUUCCCCUUCUUCCAAACCCCUAACUUCCUCCAGGCAAACCCUCUGCCCUGCAGGAUUGAAGAUGGCUUGGCAGCCCUCCCAAUCCCACACCUCCUGUUUGCCGGGGGGAAGAACCUAAAGACUUGCUGGGGUAGGGAAUGAGGGCAGACAGGAAGGCAGCAACAUGUCCAGCCCAUAGGCUCCACAGAGAAUGGUGCUUUGUCCAAGGAAACCUGAGUUUCUGAAUGCCCAGGAGCAGUCAGUGGUGAGGUUACUGGGAGAAAACUUCCUUCCCAGAGAAAAUGGAUCCUCUAUGUGGGAUCUUAGGAAAGUGACUGGGUGUGCCAAAAAUGCCCAGGGUUCUGCCCUCAGUACUAGAUUUACUUGAUGGGGCCAAGAGGGUCCAAACCCUGCUAACAUGCCACUUUGUUCAGCUCCUUUACUUUCCUAGCCGGGUGAGGAGGGAUCAUGAGAACAGAAACUACCUUGUGACAAGACAAGUGUUCUCAGUUUUCUCCUCACAUAUUGACGGUUUAUUUCCCUGGCCUCCUAGAGGGCUGAAUCCUUCUGACUCCUUGCUAUCUACUCUUUAGUGGACUUGUUCCUCCAAAGCAGAACCCAGGAGGUUGCUAUCUGCCGGAAGCCUAGGCCAGCCAGAUACCACCAUUUGCUGCUUCAGGCUUGUCUGUCUGUUGCAAUAACCAGCUCUUAGGUGUUUCUUUUCCCUGAGGCUUUCCAUUUAACAUGGAAUCCUUCCCCAAGAAGGCUUCUUCCUUGUUUUAGAGGAAGGUACUGCCUUUUUGGACUUAGGGAUGUUGUGGGACCUCAGUAACGAGGACCCCUAGUUAAUAAAGUACCAGAAGUGUGGGGAAGAAAGCAAUUUGAGCAGUAUCUAGCCUACUCACAUGGGCUGUUUCAGGUUUGAUGUAAGCAUAGGCUUGCAUAUUCCCAAGGUACAUACUUGGACUUAUCUGUGGGAUAACUCAGCACUAAUAGGCAGGUAAAGUCACAACUGUGGUUUUUUUUAGUUUUAUUUUGUUUUUUGUUUUCUUAUCCUUUUACUCUAAUAUUUCCCCCGUCACUUUGCCCGGAGGUGCUUCCAGCCUUUAAAAAGGAGCAGAGAAGAAUUGGAGCUCAGAAUUAUAAGGACCAGCACAUUGGUGGCCAUUUUCUGCACAAGCAAAUGGAAUUGUUUUGUUCAGCACCCAAAAUGUGACCGGUUGCUCCUGAAAGAGGUAGCCACAGUCCUGGAGUACAAUAGGGUGAUGUUCCUUCUGCAUGCAUCUGCAGGGCCUGUGAGAUCUAGUGUAAAAAGAAACAUGACAUGUGAGAUGGGACUUGGUGUGUGAGGCAUAGGGUCAUUGGAAACUCUUCAGACUCAGAGGGGGGAGACUGAAUUGGACGCUCUCUCUCUUCCCAGCACACUUCUGAUAGACAGACCCCUUCAGUCACUGAGGGAAUGCCCCCAAGGUUGGAGAGGCACUUUCCCUUUGGACAGAAGGCUGCAAGUUGUGGCUUAUUUUCCUGUCCCCUAAACCAAUCCCUGUUCUACCAACAUGGCACCCUGCCUAAUUGGCAAAGUGUUAAAGAGAUACACUUAUUCUUGAAAGCAGCUCGGGGUGUCUUUUUAAAAUGUAGGAAAAGAAAAAGUAAAGUGACAGUUAAGGAAAAAUAACAUAUAAAAUAUCAGAAAAGCUGUUUACCCAGAAAAUUAUUUUCUCCCUACUUUUAUUUUUACUCAGUGACAUAAUUUUUAGUUUUAUUCCUCAUAGCAAAAGGAAAAAAAAAAUCCCAAUCCUCAAAAGGUCAAGGCCCCGUCCCCCUGUUGUCGGUGAUUUGUUUGUCUUUCUGAUAGGUUGAAAAUUGUGUAAUAAACUUGAUGACGAUGUCAAUCUUUUA